ACUCCUACGGGAGGCAGCAGUGGGGAAUAUUGGACAAUGGGCGCAAGCCUGAUCCAGCCAUGCCGCGUGUGUGAAGAAGGCCUUCGGGUUGUAAAGCACUUUUGUACGGGAAGAAAAGCUUUCGGUUAAUACCCGGGAGUCAUGACGGUACCGUAAGAAUAGGCACCGGCUAACUUCGUGCCAGCAGCCGCGGUAAUACGAAGGGUGCAAGCGUUACUCGGAAUUACUGGGCGUAAAGCGUGCGUAGGUGGUUUGUUAAGUCUGAUGUGAAAGCCCUGGGCUCAACCUGGGAAUGGCAUUGGAUACUGGCAGUCUAGAGUGUGGGAGAGGGUAGCGGAAUUCCCGGUGUAGCAGUGAAAUGCGUAGAUAUCGGGAGGAACAUCCGUGGCGAAGGCGGCUACCUGGACCAACACUGACACUGAGGCACGAAAGCGUGGGGAGCAAACAGGAUUAGAUACCCUGGUAGUCCACGCCCUAAACGAUGCGAACUGGAUGUUGGGGACACUUAGGUCCUCAGUAUCGAAGCUAAUGCGUUAAGUUCGCCGCCUGGGAAGUACGGUCGCAAGACUGAAACUCAAAGGAAUUGACGGGGGCCCGCACAAGCGGUGGAGUAUGUGGUUUAAUUCGAUGCA
rnacentral:rRNA from 1 species